rnacentral:lncRNA from 1 species
GGUGAAUUGAAAAAAGCACAAGGAAGAGCAUAAAGUGACCCAGAGACAGUGGGCCAUUGGACACAUGGGCCUGUCAAUCUGAAAGUCAAGGCUGAGGAAGAAUAUUAUCCAAAUCUGUAAAAUCAUGAUGCAUCACUCCACUCUGCCUCCAUCGUUACGUGGCAUUCUCCCUCCGCCUCUGUGUCUUCACAUGGCCAUCUUCUUGUAAGAACACCAGUCAUAUUUGACCAAUGCCCUAUCACUGAAGCUGAGUAGUUUUGCAAAUUCACACCAUGGCGAUGCAGUACUCCUCGACUGACAGACCUCUUCUUCCUGGGCGUGGGUGUCCCUGAGCCUUCCAGAUCCCUGUAUCAGCAGAGCUUCUGAACAACGCGCUGACCAGGCCUUUAAAGGAAAACUUCUGGUGUUUGCCAGCAACCUUUGGCAUCCCUUGUCUUGUAGAUGCACCGCUCCAAUCCCAGCCAUCUUCACGUGACCUUCUCUUCUG